rnacentral:rRNA from 1 species
AUUGAACGCCGGCGGCAGGCUUAACACAUGCAAGUCGAGCGGAGUGAUGGUGCUUGCACUAUCACUUAGCGGCGGACGGGUGAGUAAUGCUUAGGAAUCUGCCUAUUAGUGGGGGACAACAUCUCGAAAGGGAUGCUAAUACCGCAUACGUCCUACGAGAGAAAGCAGGGGAUCACUUGUGACCUUGCGCUAAUAGAUGAGCCUAAGGCGGAUUAGCUAGUUGGUGGGGUAAAGGCCUACCAAGGCGACGAUCUGUAGCGGGUCUGAGAGGAUGAUCCGCCACACUGGGACUGAGACACGGCCCAGACUCCUACGGGAGGCAGCAGUGGGGAAUAUUGGACAAUGGGGGGAACCCUGAUCCAGCCAUGCCGCGUGUGUGAAGAAGGCCUUAUGGUUGUAAAGCACUUUAAGCGAGGAGGAGGCUCUUUUGGUUAAUACCCAAGAUGAGUGGACGUUACUCGCAGAAUAAGCACCGGCUAACUCUGUGCCAGCCGCCGCGGUAAAAC